ACUGUGGUAAAGAAGCAACUACUGGGUGUGCUUCAAUAUGUGGUGUUGAAGUGGGUGCAAACGCUCUUGUUAACAGCCUGAGGUGGAAGGUAUCAGAGCAGCAGUGGCAGAGCUUUGAAGAUACAUGGCUGGGACCUGGAUGUACCUUAACAGAAGUCUGUCUGUGUUAUGGACCGGUGACUGACAAAAGCUUUCUUACCUCUGCUCUGGGAAGUAGUCCCACACCUCCUGGAAGCUAUGGGAAAAUGAUUUCUGCUAUCAAAUAUAGUUGGUCUUGUUAUUUCAGCUUUCCUGGGUGUGGCUUGCCUUGGCUGACCUUGGUAUAGACAAUAAUUUGGAUUCAGGUUGAAGCACCUUCAUGGCCAUGCCUGUCAGUAGGGUGAGGGAGCAUUUGCAUCUACUCUAAUGGGAAGCACCUGCAAAGUUACAUGGCAAGAGACGUGGAUUACAUGUUUGUUACUGGAAGAGAUAAAAGAAUUUGGAACGGUAAAUGUUUCUCAGGUGGCUUCUCAAGAACUUUAUGAAUAGAGGCAAGACAGGAUGGUGCAAGAGGUUCAUUGAAAAUAGAGGGCCUCCACCCUGGCUGUAUUAUCACCUAUUUUAGUUUCUUAUGGCUGCCAAACAAAGUGCCAUGAACUGUGUGGCCUAAACAACAAAGUUACUGUCUCACAGUUCGGGAGGCCGGAAGUCCAAAAUCAAGGUGUCCGUAGGGCCAUGCGCCCUCUGAAUGCUUCCUUGACUCCUCCUGGCUUCUGAUGGUUUGUUGGCAGUCGCUGACAUUCCUUGGCUUUUAGGUGCAUAAAUCCAGUCUGUCUUUGUCAUGUGGCAUUCUCCCUGUGUCUGUCUUCAUGUGGCCAUCAUCUUACAAGGAUGCCACUCACAUUGGAUUAGGGACCCACCCUGCUCCAGUAUGACCCAAUCUUAAUUAAUUCUAUCUGAAAUAACUCUAUUGCAAAUAAGGUCAAUUGUAAGGUACCCAGAGAUAGGACUUCUACAUAUCUUUUUGACGUUAUUUUUUGUUGGAGGCACAACUCAAUCUAUAACUUUAUCAAUGUGAGAUUCUCAUGCCUAGCAGUGUGCCAAAUGUUAUAAAGAAAAUAAAGAUGUCAUUACAUCAUAACUUUUUCUGCUUAUUACCAAUAGACCUGAGCAAGUGAAUGUUUCUUUGUAUAUGUGGGUGAAGAAUUAUUUAUGUAUAUAUGUAUUCUCACUAAAAAUACAGAUUUUAAAAAAACAAUUGAAUCUACCUAAAUUUUUAUACUAAGGGAGUCUGAGAAGGGGAUACUUUAUUCCACAAAAAUGUUUUUUUUUUUUAAAGAUUGGCACCUGAGCUAACAUCUGUUGCCAAUCUUUUCUUCUGCUCCUCCCCAAAGCCCCAGAGUACAUAGUUGUAUAUUCUAGUUGUAGGUCCUUCUAGUUGUGCUAUGUGGGAUGCUGCCUCAGCAUGGCUUGAUGAGCAGUGCCAUGUCCACGCCCAGGAUCUGAACCAGCAAAACCCUGGGCCAGUGAAGUGGAGUGUGCGAACUUAACCACUCAGCCGCAGGGCUGGCCCCCACAAAAUAUUUUUUUGGGAAAAAAUGCUUGUAGGAAU
ensembl:lncRNA